rnacentral:rRNA from 1 species
UACGUAGGGUCCGAGCGUUUGUCCGGAAUUACUGGGCGUAAAGCGUGCGCAGGCGGCUUCUUAGGCAUGACGUGAAAGCCCCCGGGCUCAACCCGGGGAGGGUCGUCGUGAACCGGGGGGGCUUGAGGCCGGUAGAGGUGGGUGGACUCUGGUAGAGUGGUGAAAUGCGUAGAGAUCAGGAAGAACACCCCGUGGCGAAAGGCGGCCCACUGGGGC